GUUCAGUCAGUUAAGUCGGUAAAGCUUCGGACUUCAGCUCUGGUCAUGAUCUCACAGUUCGUGGGUUCGAGCCCUGCACUGGGCU
rnacentral:tRNA from 1 species